UGUGUUCUCAUGUGUAAUAUCAUGUUAUUCUUAAUGUUGAAUCUUUUCGCACAAGCUGAGCAUGAAAAAGGUUUCUCUCCAGUGUGUGUUCUCAUGUGUGUGGUCAUGCGUUGCUUUGUGGAGAAACUAUUCUUACAAACAGAGCAAAGAAAAGGUUUCUCACCUGUGUGUGUUCUCAUGUGUAAUAUCAUAUGAGAACUUAUGGAGAAUCUUUUGGGACACACUGAGCACAGAAAAGGUUUCUCUCCAGUGUGUAUUCUCAUGUGUGUGGUCAUGUUAGGUUUUGUGGAGAAACUCUUCUUACAAACAGAGCAAGUAAAAGGUUUCUCUCCAGUAUGUAUUCUCAUGUGUCUUGUAAAAUCAUUCUUCUGUCUAAAUGAUUUCCCACAUUGAGAGCAGUCAAAGUGUUUGUUGUUAGUGUGAUGUCUCGUAUCACCUUUAGAGUCAUUUUUACUCUCCAAAGGUUUUUGGAUGUGGUCACUGUGAUCAGAAGAGUGUGACAUCAUGUGGUCCAUGUCUGACAGUGGAGCAAAGAUGCUGUCUGGUUCUGACUUUAUAUCUUCACAAUGCUCUCCAUCAGCUCCUGUGAUGUGUUGACUUACAAGCUCCGCCCCUCUGUUCUCCUCACUUUGACUGUGAUGAAGCUGUAAGGACUGAGCUUCAUCUUCAUCGUUAGCCUCCUCCAACUUUGGAAGCGGCUCCCACAGUUCCUCCUCUUCCUCUUUAAUGUGUGGGGGCUCCAGCUCCUUCUGUCCCACACCGGAGCUCCACUCCUGCUGCUUGGAGGGAAUCUCUUCUUGACUCUCUGCUGACACCCGCUGGACGUCUGCAGAACAAAUGAGGUGUUACUGUAUUUUACUUGGCAGUAUUCAAACUAUUGACAUGUGAGGUAGGCCAAAUAGACAGAGAUGGGCAAGCUAUCUGGACAAUGUAGUAAAAAAAAAAAAAAAAAAAGUGUUUCAUGUGACAUCACAUGGACAAAGAUAAGACCGUCUGGAGGAAAGUUCUGUGGUCAGAUGAAACAAAAACGGAGCUGUUUGGCCACAAUACCCAGCAAUAUGUUUGGAGGAGAAAAGCCUCCUCAAACACACGGCGGAGAAAGCGUGGCGUCACUCCGGUGGGUGUACGGAUGUGUCGAAGCCUCAGUUCGCCUCCACACAUCAAGCUGAGAACAGCAACACACUUCCUUCCCCCUUCACAAUAAUAGGCCUGACUGCACUAACAAAAUAAAGGUUUCAAAAAAGC